rnacentral:rRNA from 1 species
GACGAACGCUGGCGGCGUGCUUAACACAUGCAAGUCGAACGGAAAGGCUCUGCUUUUGUGUGGUGCUCGAGUGGCGAUCGGGUGAGUAACACGGGAGUAACCUGCCUUCUACUUUGGGAUAACUUCAGGCAACUGGGGCUAAUACCGGAUAGGUGCUGCUGCUGCAUGGUGGGGGUCGGAAAGUUUCGUCGGUUGGGGAUGGAUUCGCGGCUUAUCAGCUGGUUGGUGGGGUAGUGGCUUACGAAGGCUUUGACGGGUAGCCGGCCUGAGAGGGUGACCGGCGACAUGAGGACUGAGGGUAGGCGCAGACUCCUACGGGAGGCAACAGUGGGGAGUAUGGCACAAUGGGCGGAAGCGUGAGGAAGCAACGCCGCGUGCGGAAUGACGGCCUUCGGGUUAUAAACCGCUUUCACCUGUGACGAAGCGUGAGUGACGGUAAUAUGAAAAGAAGCACCGGCUAAGUACGUG